AGUGAACGCUGGCGGUAGGCCUAACACAUGCAAGUCGAACGGCAGCACAGUAAGAGCUUGCUCUUACGGGUGGCGAGUGGCGGACGGGUGAGGAAUACAUCGGAAUCUACUUUUUCGUGGGGGAUAACGUAGGGAAACUUACGCUAAUACCGCAUACGACCUACGGGUGAAAGCAGGGGAUCUUCGGACCUUGCGCGAUUGAAUGAGCCGAUGUCGGAUUAGCUAGUUGGCGGGGUAAAGGCCCACCAAGGCGACGAUCCGUAGCUGGUCUGAGAGGUUGAUCAGCUACACUGGAACUGAGACACGGUCCAGACUCCUACGGGAGGCAGCAGUGGGGAAUAUUGGACAAUGGGCGCAAGCCUGAUCCAGCCAUACCGCGUGGGUGAAGAAGGCCUUCGGGUUGUAAAGCCCUUUUGUUGGGAAAGAAAAGCAGCAGGUUAAUACCCCGCUGUUCUGACGGUACCCAAAGAAUAAGCACCGGCUAACUUCGUG
rnacentral:rRNA from 1 species